GCUUAACACAUGCAAGUCGAGCGAGAAUCGUUUUGCUGAAGGCUUCGGUCCGACGCAGAAUGAGGAAAGCGGCGAACGGGUGAGUAACGCAUGGGCAACCUGGCCUUAAGAAAAGGAUAGCCCCCGGAAACGGGGAGUAAUACUUUAUGAGAAUAGAAAAGGGCAUCCUAUUUCUAUUCAAAGCGCAAGCGCUUAAGGAUGGGCCCGCGUAUCAUUAGCUAGUUGGUGAGACAACAGCCCACCGAGGCAACGAUGAUUAGCCGGUCUGAGAGGGCGAACGGCCACAUUGGAACUGAGAGACGGUCCAAACUCCUACGGGAGGCAGCAGUGGGGAAUAUUGCGCAAUGGAGAAGAACUCUGACGCAGCAAUACCGCGUGAGCGAAGAAGGUCUUCGGAUCGUAAAGCUCUGUUAUCAGGGAAGAAGAAAAUGACGGUACCUGAUGAGCAAGUCCCGGCUAACUACGUGCCAGCCGCCGCGGUAAUAC
rnacentral:rRNA from 1 species